AAGUCGUAACAAGGUUUCCGUAGGUGAACCUGCGGAAGGAUCAUUUCCAAUUCAAAAUUUAUCAACCAACUGUGUGCAUUUUUUAUUUUUCAUCUUUCUGGGAACGGACUUCUGGUCCAAGUACCAGAAAGCAAAAAUAUAUAUUAUACCCGUUUUAACCCCAUUGUAAAUCUAAAAACACAAAAAGUAAGUUAUGAAACAUUGACAACUUUUAACGGUGGAUCUCUUGGCUCGU
rnacentral:misc_RNA from 1 species